GACAGAGGGGGCAAGCGUUGUUCGGAAUUACUGGGCGUAAAGGGCGCGUAGGCGGCCUGUUAAGUCGAACGUGAAAUCCCCGGGCUCAACCCGGGAACUGCGUCCGAUACUGGCAGGCUUGAAUUCGGGAGAGGGAUGCGGAAUUCCAGGUGUAGCGGUGAAAUGCGUAGAUAUCUGGAGGAACACCGGUGGCGAAGGCGGCAUCCUGGACCGAGAUUGACGCUGAGGCGCGAAAGCCAGGGGAGCAAACGGG
rnacentral:rRNA from 1 species